rnacentral:rRNA from 1 species
AUUGAACGCUGGCGGCAUGCUUUACACAUGCAAGUCGAACGGCAGCGCGGGCUUCGGCCUGGCGGCGAGUGGCGAACGGGUGAGUAAUACAUCGGAACGUGCCCAGUAGUGGGGGAUAGCUCGGCGAAAGCCGGAUUAAUACCGCAUACGACCUGAGGGUGAAAGCGGGGGAUCUUCGGACCUCGCGCUAUUGGAGCGGCCGAUGGCAGAUUAGCUAGUUGGUGGGGUAAAGGCCUACCAAGGCGACGAUCUGUAGCUGGUCUGAGAGGACGACCAGCCACACUGGGACUGAGACACGGCCCAGACCCUACGGGAGGCAGCAGUGGGGAAUUUUGGACAAUGGGCGAAAGCCUGAUCCAGCAAUGCCGCGUGUGUGAUGAAGGCCUUCGGGUUGUAAAGCACUUUUGGCGGGAACGAAAAGGACUGUGCCAAUACCACGG